rnacentral:rRNA from 1 species
GAUGAACGCUAGCGGCAGGCCUAAUACAUGCAAGUCGAACGGGAUCCAGAUCAAAGCUUGCUUUGGUCUGGUGAGAGUGGCGCACGGGUGCGUAACGCGUGAGCAACCUACCCUUGUCAGGGGGAUAGCCCGGCGAAAGUCGGACUAAUACCGCAUGACAUCAUUGAGCGGCAUCUUUCGAUGAACAAAGAUUUAUCGGACAAGGAUGGGCUCGCGUGACAUUAGCUAGUUGGUAAGGUAACGGCUUACCAAGGCUACGAUGUCUAGGGGCUCUGAGAGGAGAAUCCCCCACACUGGGACUGAGACACGGACCAGACGCCUACGGGAGGCAGCAGUAAGGAAUAUUGGUCAAUGGACGGAAGUCUGAACCAGCCAUGCCGCGUGCAGGAAGACGGCCCUAUGGGUUGUAAACUGCUUUUAUACGGGAACAAACGUCGGUACGUGUACCGGUCUGAGUGUACCGUAAGAAUAAGGAUCGGCUAACUCCGUG